AGGAUCUGUCAAGGUGCUGCUGUGACUGGGCAGCAGUGUGAAGGAGCAGGAGAGGAAGUCAGACGCUGCAGUGAGCAGAGGUGUCCUGCGCCUUAUGAAAUAUGUCCUGAAGACUAUUUGAUGUCAAUGGUGUGGAAAAGGACCCCAGCUGGGGACAUGGCAUUCAAUCGAUGUCCUCUCAAUGCCACAGGCACCACUAGCAGACGCUGCUCUCUCAGUGUUCAUGGAGUGGCCUUUUGGGAACAACCAAGCUUUGCUAGAUGCAUAUCAAACGAGUACA